GCAAACUUGGUCAUUUAGAGGAAGUAAAAGUCGUAACAAGGUUUCCGUAGGUGAACCUGCGGAAGGAUCAUUAGUGAAUAAUAGGACGUCUCUCUUCGGAGAGAGUCCGACCUCUCACUUUUUAACACUGUGCACUUUAUAUAAAUAUUUGGGACUAGAGCGGGCUUAAUUGCUUGCACAUGACCCAACAUUUUUUUUAUUUAUUACUCUACAGUUAAAGAAUGUAAUGUUAAAUUUAUAACAAAAAAAAACUUUCAACAACGGAUCUCUUGGCUCUCGCAUCGAUGAAGAACGCAGC
rnacentral:misc_RNA from 1 species